AAUAUGAGAUUUUAAAUAACAAAAAAAAAGGUUACAAAUAGUAAUCUCCAAAGAUAAGAGUAUGAUUGGUAAUUGAGGGGUUGUAUUUAGUAAAAUUAUAUUUUAUGUUUUAAAAAUAAUUAUAUAAAGUAAGUGAUUACCAAUAGCAAAAAAAAAAAAAACAAUAGCAAUCUCCAUCUUUUAUUAUCAUUAAAUUUAUUUAUUUAUUAUUUUUAAUUAAAACUUCUUGAGCAAUCCUCUACUUCUCCUCACUAUCAUCAAUUGUAAAUACAGGGGAUAUAUACAUCAUUAGAACUUAUUUUGUCAUAACCUUAGUUUCCGUUCUAGCUUCUAAACCUGUCAUUAGUAGUCCAUUUUACUAUUUUGUUUUAUAUUUACUGUGUCUUAGCACAAUGGCUUACUUUUGUCUAUGUGAAUAGAGCUUGCGAAAGCACCUUCUUGAGGAGCUUGAUCAGGCUUUUCCUGAUGAAGUGGAAACCUAUAGGGAGAUCCGUGCUUCUUCUGCUGCAGAAUCGAAGCGGCUGGCACAGUCCCAGAGUGCUCUACCGAAUGGAGAUGUCAAAGUGAAACAAGAGCACUAAAAGGCAUAUUAGCUAUUCUUGUUCAUUUCAGCUAGUGUGCAACCUAACUUGAUAAAGUGUUUCCUGAUAUUCAAACUAAGCUUUGUACUGUUUUCUAUUAGUAGAUGGUUGAGCUCUGUGUUUUUAAGCUUGUAGAAAAAUGAAUCAUAUAUAUGUCUGACAUUAUAACAUACAUGUAUCCAUGUCCAGAAAAAAAAAAAAAAAGUUUCUUAA